rnacentral:lncRNA from 1 species
AAAAAACAGGGCAUCCCCAGACCUUUGCACAGCUCUCAUUGGAAGACAAUGCUAGAAGUUCUUAGAGCAAGAAUUGCAACCCAAAAUAUUUACAAGCAGUCUAACUUCUAGCCAAGUGCAGAGAGAGCAGAUCCAAGAACGAAGAGAACACACUCAGCCCUGGUCCUUCCAGAAAUACAAAGAGAAAACAAAACCAAGAAGCCAGGCAAACAAACACAAAACAAAGAAACAGAACCAGCUCUGGAGAGAACCAACAUUGGGCAAAGAGGAACCUGAGGAUGCUUCCAUCAAGGGGAAGGGAGAGAAAAGACAAGGGACCAAGAUAGAAGGUCCUGUGUUCAAUUUAGGUGGCAGUGUGCAUAGCUGAGCCAUUGUAUGCUGAAAAUAAGCAGAGAAGAUUGUGGCUAGGUUUCCUGAUAGAGUGCUGCAGUUCCUGACUUCCAUGUAGGCUUCUUCCUGCUUAGAGAGGAGAUACAGGAUGCUUGUUAGUGAGAUGGCCAUCUCAUCAGUAAGAGAUCAAGGUAUAAAGUAAAUGAUCAGGCUCUUGCUACCCAGAAUUCCCUGGGAAACAGAGGGACGCACUCCAUCUAGGACAAGCAAGGCAGCUCUGGGCUGGCUCUGGGGUGCAGGGGGUGGGGGGUGGGGCGGGGGACAGGAAUACUGUCCUGUCCCUGAAGUUUAAGCUCUGAGCUGUGAUAUUUCCAUGUGCAAUUGAUGAAAAAAUAGCAGCCAAAAUACAAUAGAAAGAGAUGCUUGAUAACCUGAAAAUAUCAGAACUAGACAAAACAAAGAACACCUGAAGUAAUGAAGUAUGUAGAAAUACUUUAAUCUAGAAAUAAAAUGCUGAGCUGGGUAAUCAGGCUG